UUUCCAUAAAACCUUAUUUGGACUGUUGGUAGUGAAAAAAUUCCUCUAUUUUUUAAUACUGCUCUUUUAGGAUUAAAGAAAUUUUGCCAUUAGCUGGGCUGGGAUUGUUAUGUUGUAUCCAUGACUCUGCAUAUUCUCUGAUUUGACUGUCAAAACUCUACUAUUAUUUAUAUCUUAUUCAUUGUUUUUCCUUCGAUCAUUAAAGGCAAAUCAUGGACUGUAUUGUCUUUUUAAUCCCUUUGAUCUCUAUAUUUAGAUAUAUAGAUUGGUAAAUAUACCUUCAAGUGUUAUUAUCAUCUCAUAUUGAUCAUCAUAACUUUGUGACUGGUAUCUUUGUCUCUGUCUUUAACUUCAUGCUCAUGAUCAUUAGGAGGUCUGAGACUGUUCACUUUUCUUUACUCAUUGACUGUGCCUUUAACUAUAAUCCUGCUUUUGGGUUGUGAGGAAUGGAUCUUCAUAUGUACUUACAUAUCCUUUCACCCAUGCCAACACUGUCACUGAGGGUUUUUGAGGAGUGUUUUUUCUUAUCACAGUCUUCUUCUAGUAUCUUUGUCAUGCAUUGACUAAUAUUCUUCUAAGGUUGCAUCUUUUUGAUCUAUGCUAUGCAUUAGUUCCUUUUGACUGCUCUCUGUCUCUUUAACAAUGUGUUGAUCAUAAUGGUGACCGUGAAUAUUGGACUGAGACUUCUUGCUUAGGGCUCCUUGAUUAUUAGAACAUGUAACUGUCCUUACAUUAAUGAGUGCUUUCUAAGAUUGCAAGAAUGUAACUGUUCUUGGUCAUUAUGCUUUGUGAAUGAUAUUUUAACAGUGUGACUACCUAUUAUUGGCAUGAGCUGGUGAUCUUUGUCCUUAGGCUGUGUGAGCUUGUAGUGAUCUUGACAGUGAAGGCUGCUAUAAUUUUUAUCAUUCACUGUCUUAUCUUUGAAUGUUUGCUCAAACCAUACUAUUUAGUUUCUGAGCCCUUGACAUCUUUGUCAUUGUUUAUAUUUUGAGUAUCACUUUAUGAGCAUUUGAGUGGUGCUACAGUACUACAAUCUAUAUGCUUCUUGUAUCAUCUUUGGGCUAUUUUCUGUGAAAUAUUCAUGAACAUCUUUGACAGAGACAAACAAACCUUGCCUUGAUCUGAUCUCCUUGACUAUUAUAAGUUCAUUUGUACUGGCUGCUAAAACUGUCUAUGAAUCCUCUUGUCACUGCUGUGGAGCAAAUUUUGGCUUUCUUGAAAAGCUAUGCCAUUAUUGCUCUUUCCAUGCCUUUGAUAAUGAUGAUAUCUGUCCCAGAAGUUCUCAGCAUACCAUUGUAGGUGUGACUGCAUCUAACUUGUGUGUGACCAUUUUUUGCUAGAACUAUACUCUUUCCCCUUUGAACUUGUAGCUUGAUCACCAUUUCAACUCUGUCCAUUAGCCUUGAUAGUGAUAACUGUCUUUUGUAGCAUCAUGAACCUUUUAGUUGAUCUUUUUCAAUCUUCAAAACACUUAAUGACUGUAUUAAUUAACCUUUUGACUGAACAUGAAUUGGCAUCCUAGGGUUCAUCAAUGUCUUUGGAAGGCUUGGGUUUGCUUAUGAAUCCACUGCUCUUAUUCUUUAUGAAUUGAAACAUCUCAUUAGGACUGUUGCUAUGUACUUAGACCUCUUCUCUUCUCUAUGCUUUUAAUUGCUUCUUGGACCACUUCAGGGUUAUUGUAGCAGACCUCAUAACCUCUUUAGGUUGAAUAAUAUAUGGGCUUUCAAAUAUAGAUCUAAUGAUAAUGAUUGGUCAUGUCUUUGCCCAUGAUGUUGGCUUAUUACUGCCCUUUAAAGUUGAUAGCUGCAAACUCCCUGUCAUCACUUCUUUGAUCUUUGGCUCUCAUUAUGACAGUAUCUACAACUGCCUGUAUUACUGUCAUAAUGAUUUUUUGAUCAACUUUUGUUAUUCCUCAUUUGAUCUACUACCAAGGUCUGAGACCAUAAAUCAUUACCGUCUUUUUGAUAUAAUUUUUAAGAGGCCUGCUAUCACUGCAAAUGACUCUUUUGGGACUGUUAAAGCAUUCAUACAAUAACCCUUUAUGACUAUUUGCUGCAAGUUGAGUUCAUUCAUCAAUGGAGCUACAUUGUCUAAAUCAAUAGUAGUUUUGAGAUAACAAUCCUCCUCAAAGGGGUUGCUUCUAAUAAUACAGAGCUACAAUAUAUUAUCAAUUGAAUGAACUCAAGAAAAGUAGAGUUCUAAGGAAAAACCCAUACUAUGCAUGAAGAUUUCUUUUAUUAAAAUCUCAUAUGCUAUGAUGUUGCUUUAAACGCAAGAUAAAACACCCUUUAAAUGCAUACCAAUGGCCUUUGCAUGAGAAAUAAGAGCUUGGCCAGUGCUUGACCCUUUGCCAUCAUAUGGUCAAGGUAGGGAACUGAGUGGAGGACAAUAUAGCAACCUUAUAACUGCAUUCAAUGUGACAUUUUUUUUAACAAUAGGUGUAAAUUUUCUUUCUAUGGUGUAAUCUUAAACAACUAGAUUAUGAAAAUCUAGUAUUUUAUUGGCAACACUAAAGUUGGACAAUUUUUUUUUGGAACCAUGCGCGCAGGAUCCAACGGGUAUUCUCGCAAUCUUGUUUAUCACGGCCUUUCCUCGAGUGUGAACUUUCACCAAUAAUAGCCACUCAUCAAGGACGCGUUGUUGGUCUCUCGAAUGGUCUCGAAAAUCUAUAUUGGAGUAAAAGAUUUCAAGUUGCAGUCUGUAGGGCCACGAGGUUGCUUGCAGUAGUUUUUGGAGAUGCUCGUUGAGCAUUGGAGCUAUGUAGACGUGUUGUAGAGAUUUCAAAAUUCAAAGUCCAACAGUUGGAUGCUCCUCAAUAUUCUAUCCCGUUGCAGAUUAUCUCCCCCUUUGUGGAUGUUGGGGAUCCUCCUCUUGUGAGCUCGAGCUCCUGGUUUUUGGCUUCUUGACUGUUGGGUUGAUUGGGUCUCUGUUUUGGGUUGCAUCUACAUGGUUGAUGCUUUUUGUUCUCAAUUGUUACUUGUAUCAGGGUUGGUAAUGAUCUUCAUGUCUUCGGCUUCUAUAUGUAUUGGGGGACUUUUUGUAUCUUGACUCGUGGGGCCUCUCAUAUGUAAUGGGUUUUUUGGCAUUUUGGGUAGCGCUAGGCUUUUGUUUUUAUGGGCUGCAAUCGAAGGUUUUCUUCUGUAUUCUUUCCUGUCGGUAUGCCCUUUUGAA